UAUUUAGUUGGGCGUAAAGAGAGUGCAGGCGGUUUUCUAAGUCUGAUGUGAAAGCCUUCGGCUUAACCCGGAGAAGUGCAUCGGAAACUGGAUAACUUGAGUGCAGAAGAGGGUAGUGGAACUCCAUGUGUAGCGGUGGAAUGCGUAGAUAUAUGGAAGAACACCAGUGGCGAAGGCGGCUACCUGGUCUGCAACUGACGCUGAGACUCGAAAGCAUGGGUAGCGAACAGGAUUAGAUACCCCUGGUAG
rnacentral:rRNA from 1 species